rnacentral:rRNA from 1 species
UACGUAGGGAGCAAGCGUUGUUCGGAAUUAUUGGGCGUAAAGAGCGCGUAGGCGGUCAGGUAAGUCUGACGUGAAAUCCCGGAGCUUAACUCCGGAACUGCGUUGGAUACUGCCAGACUCGAGUGUGGGAGAGGAGAGUGGAAUUCCCAGUGUAGAGGUGAAAUUCGUAGAUAUUGGGAGGAACACCGGUGGCGAAGGCGGCUCUCUGGACCACAACUGACGCUGAGGCGCGAAAGCCAGGGUAGCAAACGGG